CCUACGGGUGGCAGCAGUGAGGAAUAUUGGUCAAUGGACGAGAGUCUGAACCAGCCAAGUAGCGUGAAGGAUGACUGCCCUAUGGGUUGUAAACUUCUUUUAUAUGGGAAUAAAACGUUCCACGUGUGGGAUUUUGUAUGUAACAUAUGCAUAAGGAUCGGCUAACUCUGUGCCAGCAGCCGCGGUAAUACGGAGGAUCCGAGCGUUAUCCGGAUUUAUUGGGUUUAAAGGGAGCGUAGGUGGAUUGUUAAGUCAGUUGUGAAAGUUUGCGGCUCAACCGUAAAAUUGCAGUUGAAACUGGCAGUCUUGAGUACAGUAGAGGUGGGCGGAAUUCGUGGUGUAGCGGUGAAAUGCUUAGAUAUCACGAAGAACUCCGAUUGCGAAGGCAGUUCACUGGACUGCAACUGACACUGAGGCUCGAAAGUGUGGGUAUCAAACAGGAUUAGAUACCCCAGUAGUC
rnacentral:rRNA from 1 species